GUGGGCCCGCCACGUGCUGGGGGCGCCCCCACGCCCCCGUGGUUACUGACUGUGUUGCUAUGUCUUAUUCAUACUUUAGUAAUAUAUGUGACAUCUGUCACUGCAGGAGUGAGGUUGAAGGCAGAGCUCAGCUGGGCAGCUCUAUGGACCCUGGCAGCUACAGAUCUCUGGAUGAUGUCAACUGCUUCUGACAAUUGAAGUAAUUAUUUGGCUUGCCCAGUCCCUUCUCUACUUCCAACUCUUCAUCAGUCCUUGAU
rnacentral:lncRNA from 1 species